GACGAACGCUGGCGGCGUGCUUAACACAUGCAAGUCGAACGGUGAAGCGCCUUCCUUUUUGGUGGGUGUGGAUGAGUGGCGAACGGGUGAGUAACACGUGAGUAACCUGCCCCCUUCUUCUGGAUAACCGCAUGAAAGUGUGGCUAAUACGGGAUAUUCUGGGUCUGUCGCAUGAUGGGUCUGGGAAAGAUAUUGUUUCGGUGUGGGAUGGGCUCGCGGCCUAUCAGCUUGUUGGUGGGGUGAUGGCCUACCAAGGCGGUGACGGGUAGCCGGCCUGAGAGGGUGGGCGGUCACACUAGGACUGAGACACGGCCCAGACUCCUACGGGAGGCAGCAGUGGGGAAUAUUGCACAAUGGGCGCAAGCCUGAUGCAGCGACGCCGCGUGCGGGAUGGAGGCCUUCGGGUUGUGAACCUCUUUCGCCAGUGAAGCAGGCCUGCCUCGUUUGUGGGUGGGUUGACGGUAGCUGGAUAAGAAGCGCCGGCUAACUACGUG
rnacentral:rRNA from 1 species